UACAGAGGGGGCAAGCGUUAUUCGGAAUUAUUGGGCGUAAAGGGCGCGUAGGCGGCCUGGCAAGUGGAUGGUGAAAUCCCUCGGCUUAACCGAGGAACUGCCAUCCAGACUGCUUGGCUUGAGACCGGGAGAGGUGAGUGGAAUUCCCAGUGUAGCGGUGAAAUGCGUAGAUAUUGGGAGGAACACCAGUGGCGAAGGCGGCUCACUGGACCGGUACUGACGCUGAGGUGCGAAAGCGUGGGGAGCAAACAGG
rnacentral:rRNA from 1 species